rnacentral:rRNA from 1 species
UACAGAGGGUGCGAGCGUUAAUCGGAAUUACUGGGCGUAAAGCGUGCGUAGGCGGCUGUACAAGUCAAAGGUGAAAUCCCUCGGCUCAACUGAGGAACUGCCUUUGAAACUGUACGGCUUGAGGCCGGGAGGGGGUAGCGGAAUUCCCAAUGUAGCGGUGAAAUGCGUAGAUAUUGGGAGGAACACCAGUGGCGAAGGCGGCUACCUGGACCGGUUCUGACGCUGAUGCGCGAAAGCGUGGGUAGCAAACAGG